UUGCAAAAAAAUACGCGUACAUAUGAGCAGUUAGAGUGGUAAUUUAGAUUGCUUUAUCGAAAAUUGUUUACAGUCUUUGAACAAAAGUAAAUGAAAUAUCUUUCUCUGCACGUGUGACGGUGUGUGUGUGUGUGUGUUUUUCGUUUA